rnacentral:pre_miRNA from 1 species
CUUUACCUGUGUUCGGAUUGUGUUCAGCACCAAGGACAGGUGUGUUUCUAAUGGCUGUAUGGUGUUCAGUACCAAGGACAGAUAUGUUUGCUU